GUGUCUGUAAAUGGAAUCUGCUUAAAGGAAUGUGGCUAAUGCACAUUGGUCCUUCUGUUUUUGAGUCUCCUAACCUUUUGAUGGUCUGUCUGUGUGGCUUUGCUUGGGCUGCAGGUCCCCGUGUUCUUUAUUUUUCCAUGGAUCAUAAAUCUGCACUGAAUUGGAGGCUGACUGAGACCCACUGAUGCCCAAAUCAACUCUUCUAGAAAGAAAGAGUACUCCACACCACGAAACGUAUCUCCUAAUAUUUCAUUGUCCUCCAGAAAAAUAGGGGGAGACACUAGCAAUUCUCUCAGCAAGGCCCCUUGAAUUUACCUCUAAUUCAGCUCAUGAGCGGCCACUCCUCCAUCAUCUUUGGAUUUUAUUCUUGGACAUAGAGUGUGAACAGCAAUAAGGUUCCUUAUCAGCCUAGAGUGUCCUAUGUCUGGCUCAAUGACUUCCACACUAAACGUUUCCCAGGUCAUGGUGAAAGACCCUCAUGGGAAUCCCUUGUGAGGCUUUUUGGUCCUCUGAAAGGAAUCAUUGAACAUUGCUUGGACUCCAGCACAAGACAGCUUGUUAUCUCAGGAGAGCCUUGAUUUUCUUUUGCUCUGAUGUGGAAUCCAAAGUGUCUCUCAACAGCACUACUGGACACAAUUUUUAGGCAUGACAUCAACACAGAUGGUUUCUGUGACAAUGACUCAACUUCAUCUGCACCAGUGAGAGGCCAGUCUGAUGUGUGAGAACACUGCUCCACCUUGGACUUGUCUUUGUCGUGGUUCCUGCCUUUCCCAGAUAG